UAUAAUACGAGUCUUAAAUUACCUAUACCUAGCUAAAUAUUUUGACAUUCGAAUAAAGUUUAUAUAUACAUAUGUAUGACAUUGGAGCUCCCCCUUGGUGAGUAUAAUUACCUGAUGCUAGACAAAGUAAAAUAAUGAAAUUUGGAUAAAAGAAGCGCUCGAAUUUUUCAAAGAGCUCAAAUAGCACUCAAUCCUUCGGAUUCAUGCUAUUUGCCUAUUUUGUACCCUGGUUCCAGAAGGCAGAGCCUACAUUUUGCCGAAAAGUAGUCAAGUAGUUGACUACUUUUCAAACAGAGAAUCGCCAUUCGCUAGUUUAUAAAAUUGUUAGCAACUUGAUAGAAUAGCAUGAUAUUGAGACACGGUUUGCUUAAAAUCAAUACUCAAUUUGAGUCUUGAACUCCUGAACACUGUACGUAGCGUUUUUGUUUUUACUGUUGCUACUCGUAAGUCGAUUUGUUAUAGGUUACAUUACAGCCUGAGUUAGUAAAUGCCCCAAAGCUCCAAAGUCCAAAUACAGUAAAACUAAACAAAUAGCGUAGCGAAAUAGUUCGCUACAUUUUUUUAGCAGUAGCUG